GGUCAAGCGAACAAGUGCAUGUGGUGGAUGCCUUGGCGAUCACAGGCGAUGAAGGACGCGGUAGCCUGCGAAAAGCCCCGGGGAGCUGGCAAACAAGCUUUGAUCCGGGGAUGUCCGAAUGGGGAAACCCACUCCUUUUGGAGUAUCCAUGACUGAAUACAUAGGUCAUGUGAAGCGAACGCGGUGAACUGAAACAUCUAAGUAACCGCAGGAAAAGAAAUCAACCGAGAUUCCCAAAGUAGUGGCGAGCGAAAUGGGAUGAGCCUUGUACUCUUUAUUUGUAUUGUUAGCCGAACGCUCUGGAAAGUGCGGCCAUAGCAGGUGAUAGCCCUGUAGGCGAAAACAGUAUGAAAGAACUAGGUGUACGACAAGUAGGGCGGGACACGUGAAAUCCUGUCUGAAGAUGGGGGGACCAUCCUCCAAGGCUAAAUACUCGUGAUCGACCGAUAGUGAACCAGUACCGUGAGGGAAAGGCGAAAAGAACCCCGGGAGGGGAGUGAAAUAGAUCCUGAAACCGCAUGCAUACAAACAGUCGGAGCCUCGUAAGGGGUGACGGCGUACCUUUUGUAUAAUGGGUCAGCGACUUACGUUCAGUAGCAAGCUUAACCGUAUAGGGCAGGCGUAGCGAAAGCGAGUCCGAAUAGGGCGUUCAGUUGCUGGGCGUAGACCCGAAACCAGGUGAUCUAUCCAUGGCCAGGAUGAAGGUGCGGUAACACGUACUGGAGGUCCGAACCCACUAACGUUGAAAAGUUAGGGGAUGAGCUGUGGAUAGGGGUGAAAGGCUAAACAAACCUGGAAAUAGCUGGUUCUCUCCGAAAACUAUUUAGGUAGUGCCUCGUGUCUCACCUUCGGGGGUAGAGCACUGUCAUGGUUGGGGGGUCUAUUGCAGAUUACCCCGCCAUAGCAAACUCCGAAUACCGAAGAGUGCAAUCACGGGAGACAGACAUCGGGUGCUAACGUCCGGUGUCAAGAGGGAAACAACCCAGACCGCCAGCUAAGGUCCCCAAAUAUGGCUAAGUGGGAAACGAAGUGGGAAGGCUAAAACAGUCAGGAGGUUGGCUUAGAAGCAGCCACCCUUUAAAGAAAGCGUAAUAGCUCACUGAUCGAGUCGUCCUGCGCGGAAGAUGUAACGGGGCUAAGCCAUAUACCGAAGCUGCGGAUGCGUGCUUGCACGCAUGGUAGGAGAGCGUUCCGUAAGCCUGCGAAGGUGCCUUGUAAAGGGUGCUGGAGGUAUCGGAAGUGCGAAUGCUGACAUGAGUAGCGAUAAAGGGGGUGAAAGGCCCCCUCGCCGUAAGCCCAAGGUUUCCUACGCAACGUUCAUCGGCGUAGGGUGAGUCGGCCCCUAAGGCGAGGCAGAAAUGCGUAGCUGAUGGGAAGCAGGUCAAUAUUCCUGCACCAUUGUUAGAUGCGAUGGGGGGACGGAUCGCGGAAGGUUGUCCGGGUGUUGGACGUCCCGGUCGCUGCAUUGGAGAAGGCGCUUAGGCAAAUCCGGGCGCAGGAUUCAAGGGUGUGGCGCGAGCGACUUCGGUCGCGAAGCAAUUGGAAGUGGUUCCAAGAAAAGCCUCUAAGCUUCAGUCUAACGAUGACCGUACCGCAAACCGACACAGGUGGGCGAGAUGAGUAUUCUAAGGCGCUUGAGAGAACUCGGGAGAAGGAACUCGGCAAAUUGGUACCGUAACUUCGGGAUAAGGUACGCCCUUGUAGCUUGACUGGCCUGCGCCAGGAGGGUGAAGGGGUUGCAAUAAACUGGUGGCUGCGACUGUUUAAUAAAAACACAGCACUCUGCAAACACGAAAGUGGACGUAUAGGGUGUGACGCCUGCCCGGUGCCGGAAGAUUAAAUGAUGGGGUGCAAGCUCUUGAUUGAAGUCCCGGUAAACGGCGGCCGUAACUAUAACGGUCCUAAGGUAGCGAAAUUCCUUGUCGGGUAAGUUCCGACCUGCACGAAUGGCGUAACGAUGGCCACACUGUCUCCUCCCGAGACUCAGCGAAGUUGAAGUGUUUGUGAUGAUGCAAUCUACCCGCGGCUAGACGGAAAGACCCCAUGAACCUUUACUGUAGCUUUGCAUUGGACUUUGAACCGAUCUGUGUAGGAUAGGUGGGAGGCUAUGAAACCGGAACGCUAGUUUCGGUGGAGCCGUCCUUGAAAUACCACCCUGGUUUGUUUGAGGUUCUAACCUUGGUCCGUGAUCCGGAUCGGGGACAGUGCAUGGUAGGCAGUUUGACUGGGGCGGUCUCCUCCCAAAGGGUAACGGAGGAGUACGAAGGUACGCUAGGUACGGUCGGAAAUCGUGCUGAUAGUGCAAUGGCAUAAGCGUGCUUAACUGCGAGACCGACAAGUCGAGCAGGUGCGAAAGCAGGUCAUAGUGAUCCGGUGGUUCUGUAUGGAAGGGCCAUCGCUCAACGGAUAAAAGGUACUCUGGGGAUAACAGGCUGAUACCGCCCAAGAGUUCAUAUCGACGGCGGUGUUUGGCACCUCGAUGUCGGCUCAUCUCAUCCUGGGGCUGUAGCCGGUCCCAAGGGUAUGGCUGUUCGCCAUUUAAAGAGGUACGUGAGCUGGGUUUAAAACGUCGUGAGACAGUUUGGUCCCUAUCUGCCGUGGGCGUUGGAUAUUUGAAGGGGGCUGCUCCUAGUACGAGAGGACCGGAGUGGACGAACCUCUGGUGUACCGGUUGUGACGCCAGUCGCAUCGCCGGGUAGCUAUGUUCGGAAGAGAUAACCGCUGAAAGCAUCUAAGCGGGAAACUCGCCUUAAGAUGAGAUAUCCCUGGAGGCUUGACCUCCUUGAAGGGUCGUUCGAGACCAGGACGUUGAUAGGUCGGGUGUGUAAGCGCAGUAAUGCGUUCAGCUAACCGAUACUAAUUGCCCGUAAGGCUUGAUCCU
rnacentral:rRNA from 1 species